ensembl:lncRNA
UUGAAAUGAAAACAAAAUAAUAACAGCAGCUAACAUUUAUGUACUGCUUGCUGACUGUCCUGGGCCCUCUGCUCAGUCCUUUACAGAGAAGAUCUUAUUUCAUCUUCACAACAACCCAAGAUGUAAGUUCUAUCAUAACACCCAUUUUACAGAUGAGAAAUGGAGGCAUCAUGCUGGAGUCUUUAAGAGCUCAAUCUGAUCUGGGAUCUGUAUAUUCUACCCAGCAAUGGGACCCCUCAUGACUUGGGCCUCCACUUGCUACAGGGGAUGUGGUGGCUGUUGAGGGUGUGGGAAGAAGGUGUCAACAGGCUCUACUUGUCUCUCUGCCUCCCUCCUUCUCCCCUGUGUCUUGCAUUAACAGGGACAGUCUGUCCCAUGCAGCCUAUUGCCAGGUCCCUUCCUCUCCUGAUGGGCAAGACCAUACUAGAAUAGGCCAGAACCCCCAUUCUCCUUUGAGUUCUUUACCUGGCUAGCCUUAGGGCGCAGGAUGUGGCAGAAAUGGAAGUGAAAUGAUAAAGAAUGUUCCUAUUCACCUGAUACUUGCGUAUCUGCUUUGUUCCAGGGACCACACCAAGUACUUUGCAUACAGUAUCCUCUUCAGUCCUCACUCUACUCGGUGAGGUAGGUGUCCUCAUCCCACAAUGUACCUGAGAUUCCCAGAGUUUUAUCAACUCACCUAAUGUCCCAGAAGCUGGAAGCAGAGCCAGGAUUUGAAAUAAGGCCCAUCUGCCUCCAAUUUGAAGAAAUUCAACAAAAAACUAAGGAAUACCUCCUCUUGGGCAUGCUCAUCCCCUUCCCAUGCAGCAUGUUGCCACAAUACCCUUGGUGUCAGAGGCACAGCCAUAAUCACAUUCUCAGGUGCUUGGUUAGGGCAUCCUUGAAAGCCUGACUUUGGUGGCAGCUUUUUGGUCUGCUUAUUAGAAAAAGUCACAAAGAUCCCAUUCGUUGGUAUAAAAUUAGAGACAGAAGCUGUGUAGGACAGCGGGUAAGAUGAGCAGCAUUCUCAGCUGGAAAAUCGAGAAUCCUCCUCCCGACUUCCGUCCUCUCCUCUUCUGCUCUUUAGCAACUCAUGCGCUCGUAGUUCACGUGCAGCCAUUUUUGUGGACAUGUUCCUGAUGGAUGAUGAGAACCUGUCGUGAAAUGGUGCACCAGGAGGAGAGAGGAGAGCCCGGAGUCCACACCUGCACCCUUUGCUUUGUGAAAUUCCAGACUGUUUCAUCCGCUCUACCUCAUCCUAAGAACUCCAGAUUCCACUUUUCUUAAUGACUUUCCCCUUAAAAGCCUACACAGUUGUCUUUGAAGAAGUUAACUUUGAAGAAGGAGAAAAAGAAUAGAUGAAUCAUUUGCAGGAAACAGGGGGAGAGACGUGUGGUUGGAACAGCAGAUGGCUGAGCGUGUGGGCACAUAGCUGUCUCUGUGGUUCCUUCCACCACCCUCUGGAAAUGAAUCCUUUGGAAGUGUACACUCAUUCCAGGGUGGGGGCUGCACCCGCUUUCAGGUACUAACAUGUAAAUCCACAUCCGCUAGGAUUCUUCUCAGACAUCAAAACUCCGGGAGGGUGGGAAGGCCAGGCUCAGGCCCAGAUUGGACGAUUUAUCCUCUCCUUGAAGUUCUGACAUUAAACUUUUGAAAGAUAAAGUGAUAAACUACUUUCAAUUAGUGGUAACAGAAGUUCUCAUGCUGCCUUCUUGCUCCUGCAGGAUAUGAAAUGUAUGAAAUUCAUUUCAUCAACAGACUGUUUCAUCGAUUUUUUCCCGCAGCCAUCACCACCGUCUGCCCUCCCUCCGCUAUGCCCAUAUCACAGGACCCUGUUGUGAGCACAUGAAUGUGCAGAAAGAUAAGCGCUUGUCAUUUUUUUAGUGCAGUAGCAGUUUUGGUAAAAUGCAGAUACGUUUCUUAGCACAAAUUAUGAUAUACCACUUGGGAACAAAGCAUUGUGGUUAGGAGCACUUUUUAUUAAUGAACACCCCUUGAAAAUCGACUUUAGUAAUAAAAGUCAUCUGAUUAAGAGUGAGUAAACUCAGUCCAGAAAUCAAUCUGAAUAAUUAUAAAAAAUAUUUCAGCAAUUAUAAAUCUUGUUAAUAAUAGAAUUUCCACCCCUUACUCAUGAGUUGAUGACUCAUUUAUCUGAAAGUCAUUCAUACUAACCUUCACAAAAGCACUAAUUCUUGGAUCCUGAAAAGCUUCAAAAUUACUCUUCAUAAUUUUAAAACUGACCAGACUGGACUAAUUUUUUGCCUCUCAAGAUUCCCCAGGCCUGCCUGACCCAAGCCUCAGCCGCUUCCUGAAUGGAGAACCUCCCGGGGGCGGGGCUUCGCAGAGAUCAUCCCACAUCUCACCCACUGCAAGAGGAGCCUCGGUGGCUCCAGGCUCCCGUCUGACCCGACCAGACUCAUGAAACUUAUGGAUGGCUUCUUUCGUUCCACCUCUUCCAGGCAGCUUAGUAAGAUGUGGAAUCUGGCUUCCCUAAUGGCUCCCUGAAGUAGCUAAUAACCCAGAAGUGCAAGGGAGUUAAACUUUGAAUCAAGGGACUAGAGGCCAGGAAAACAAAUCCUUCUCCUUUUUCCACCCAUCCCCCAACACCUGAUGGAUUGCUUCAAGGUGACCUGCAGAACGAGCAACUGGCUUGUAUUUCCUUGUGAAGUUAUGGUCAGUUCCUCAACAUAUUACCUGGUAUUUGCAUCCCUGCCUCAUCCCUCUUUCUCUUUCUCUUUUGAAGUCCUGGGAUUGCACCUUUCAGUACAGCCUUAGCAAGUACAGUCAUGUACCAUAUAAUGACGUUUUGAUCACUGAGGGACCACAAAUAAGACGUGGUCCCGUAAGAUUAGUACCACAUGGCCUAGGUGUGUAGUAGGCUGUACCAUCUAGGUUUCCAGAAGUACACUCUGUGAUGUUUCCACAAAGACUAAAUCACCUAAGGACGCAUAUCUCAGAACGUAUCGGUGUCGUUGAAUGACACAUGACUGUAAUCUUUGCCUCAGGUUUUAGUUUCUAGGGAAUUUGGCUAAGAUAAUGAGUAAAAAGAAAAUCACGUUAUAUCUUCAAUCUGGCCUCCUGCCUACAGUCUAUUUCCUUCUUAAACAAAAUGAAUGGAGAUCUAAAAUCCCUGUUAAGGUUAAGAGAGCUGCUUCAGCGAAAUGUCUCUGGGUUGAGACUACGUUUCCUGAAUCCUAUCUAACUUUCCUGUGAGUGAGUUUCAUCUCACCACAAGAGGACUGGAUACUAGCAGUUCUUUUCUCAGAUUGGUUGCUUCUGCCCAGCUUGGUGUGGUGAACCAGGACAAUGGACGGUAGCUUUUCCUAUAUACAUCCUGCUAUUUGCAAACCUACUUCCCAAUCUCCAUCUGAUUACUUUUGAUGCUAUCCUCUGCCUUCUUUGUGUCCUUACCUCCCAUUUCACUUUCAGUGAAUUCCUGAUAUGCACUUGUGAUAAAGCCAGUUGGAAGUAAUAUUCAAAAUUCUUUUGAUUCAGGAUUUUCUGUUUUGUGUAAAAUAUGUAUUUUUUAAUCAACAGCUAAAGAAUAUCAGCUGCAAAGAGCAACGUGAUAUUUGGGGAUUGUAAACAAGACACUUUAAUGUCACAAAUCUUUUCCAGAAGGAGAAAGAGAAGCAAAGGGACUUUCCCACUUCUCUAUUUAAUGCGCCAGAAAAUAUCUUCUCUUGGGGAGGUGGGGGGUGAGGAUAAAGGCUUUUAGAUAUCUAGUGGUACAGUCAUGCGCCACAUAACGAAGUUUCGGUCAACAAUGGUCCACAUAUAUGGCGGUGGCCCCUAACAUUAGUACCAUACAGCCUAGGUGUGCAGUAGGCUAUACCAUCUAGGUUUGUGUGAGUACACUCUAUGAUGUUGCAGAACGACAAAGUCAGCUAACAACACAUUUCUCAGAAGUAUCCCCGUCGUUAAGUGACGCAUGACUGUAUUACUCUGUCCUUCAUGCUCAUGAGGAAAGCAGGGACUGAAAGCUAGAAGUGUGUAUUAGACCUGUGAUUUCAAUGAGUUAAAAUUCCUCAGAAGGUGUGCAUAGUUAAUAAUGGCUGAAACAGAGCUUAGGACAAACAAUUCUUCUGGAAUUGAAACAAAACAAACAAUAAUCAGAGCUCUUUGACCCUGAUGGAACCUAAGGAGUGAGUGCAGUUUUCAUCACAAGGGGAGAUUUAAAAGGAGUGGAGAAGGGAAUGUUAGGCAUCAAUGAGUUACGUAUCAAAGUGUGCUUCCGGGUUAUCAAGGGCCUCCACGUUUUUUCUGUUUGAAACUAGCGAUUGAGUAAUGGUAUUGACGUUCAAUGGCUAUAAUGAACUUAACAUUACGGCUGAAAAUAAGGUAUAAAAAAUAAAAUAGGAUUUUAAUUUUAUUUAUUUACCAAUCAAAAACGGGUAAAGAAUGUGAAUAGACAGUUCACAGGAAAGGCAAUCCAAACAGCCUUCAAACAUACAAAAAGAUGCUCUCCCUGACUCUUAAUAAGAGAAAUGCAAAUUAUAGUUACCAUGAGAUAUCAGUAUUCAUCUACCGAAUUGACAAAAUGUUUGACAGCACACUGUGUCAGCUAAGGUAUGGGGAAUAAAUACAUUACUGCUGGGAAUGUAAACUAGUACCAUUCUGAAAGGGUCAUCUGGGUGAUGUCUAUCAAAAUGAUACAUUCACAUACUCUGACCAGGCAAUUCCACAGUUAAGAAUUUAUCCUGCAGAUAUCCUCACCUACAAAGUGGGUGAGUGUGUAAAAGCAGAUUCAUUGCAGUCAUUGCUUGCAUUAGCGAAAAUGUUAUCAGCAACCUCAAUAUUCAUCGAUGGGAAGACUGGAUAAAUAAAUUAUGGUAGGCCCAUGCAAGGGCAUACUAUGUAGCCAUUAAAAAUAAUGAGAAAGCUCUAUGUUUUCUGAUUAUGAGCCCAUCUCCAAAAUGUGUUCAGUGAGAAAUCAAACUGCACUCCUGUUUGUUUAGUCUGCUACGGUUGUAUAAUAAUAACAUCAAUAAUACUAAAUGUAUAUGCUUGUACAUGCAUAGACUCUCAUUGGGAAGAUACGUAAAAACUAGUUAACAGUGGUUGCCUCUCGGAAGAGGAACUAGGUGGCUAGGAGAGGCUAACUUUUACUCUAUACCACUUUUUCCUUUUGAAUUUUAUUCCAUGCACAGGUCUCACCUAUCCAAAUAUAACUCACUAAUGCUUUAUUUUUUAAAAGAAAAAAAACUGUACAAUAUAUGCAGACAUUUGAAAAGGGGCUUUCAUCUUAUUCAAGGGGAAAACUGUAUUUUGUAGUUCCAAGUCACCUGACAGCAGCACACCCAUUAUGUACAUAAAUAUAUUAUAUAAACAGACUUUAUUUUUUAGAGCAGCUUUAGGUGUACAGCAAAAUUAAGCAGGAAGUACAGAGAUUUCCCCUUCAACUCCCCGUCCCCAUACAUGCACAGCCUUCUCCAUUAUCAAUAUCCCACACCAGAGUGGUACAUUUGUCACAAGAGAUGAACCUACACUGACACAUUGUUAACACCCAAAGUCCAUAGUUUACAUAAGGGCUCACUCUAAGUGGUGUACAUUCUAUGAAUUUUAGCAAAUGUAUAAUGACAUGUUCACUAUUAUAGUAUCAUACAGAAUCGUUUUACUGCCCUAAAAAUCCUCUGUGCUCCACCAGUUCAUCUGUCCCUCCCUCCAACCCGCGGCAAUCACUAUCUUUUUCCUGGCUCCAUAGUUUUGCCUUUCCAACAGUGUCCUAUAGCUGGAAUCACACAGUAUGCAGCCUUUUCAGAUUGGCUUCUUUCACUUAGCAAUAUGCCCUUAAGUUUCCUCCAUGUCUUUUCAUGGCUUGAUAGCUCCUAUCUUUUUAGUGCUGAAUAAUAUUCUAUUGUCUGGAUAUACUACACUUUAUUUAUCCAUUCACCCACUGAAGGACAUCUUGGUUGCUCCCAAGAUUUGGCAAUUAUGAAUAAAGCUGCUAUAAACACCUGUGUGCAGUUUUUUUUUUGUGGACAUAAGUUUUCACCUCCUUUGGGUAAAUACCAAGCAGUAUGACUGCUGGAUCAUACGGUAAGAGUAUGUUUAAUUUUGUAAGAAAUUGCCAAACUGUCCUCCAAAGUAGCUGGACCGUUUUGCGUUCACAUCAGCAAUGAAUGAGGGUUCUGUUGCUCCACGUCCUCGCCAGCCUUUGGUGUUGUCAGUGUUCCAGAUUUUGGCCAUUCUGAUAGGUGCGCAGGUCUCAUUGUUGUUUUAAUUUCCAUUUCCCUGAUGACAUAUGAUGUGGAGCAUCUUUUCAUAUGCUUACUUGCCAUCUGUAUAUGUUCUUUGGUGAAGUGUCCAUUAAGGUCUUUGGCCCUUUUUAAAAUCAGGUGGUUCAUUUUCUUCUUGCUGAAUUCUAAGAGUUAUUUGUAUAUUUGGGUAAACAGUCCUUUAUCAGAUGUGUGUUUUGCAACUAUUUUCUCCCAGUCUGUGGCUUGCACAUGUUUUUAAAAGAAGUAAGUCAGCUUUAAAGAUUGAAUCAGAAAUUAGAAUUAUCAAAUGGCCAUAUUACUUUAUGAAUAAGUGGAUAAGUCUUUACUACUUCCCUCUAUAACUGACUCUUUCUUGUCAGCACAGCCAUGUUUCCAGCUGAUUUCCUUAAGCUCUUUGCAGUAAAGCAAUCCAAUGAGUAAUGGACAAGUACAUGCAAAUGCAGACUGUGAUGUUGUGAUGUUUAAACUGCCCUUAAAAUAAAAACUAAUUUGUGUAAGGAUUAAAAAGACUUAUUCCUCUGUAAUUCGUAAUUUCCCAAUUGCAUUGUGAUGAAUUUCACCAGUAAGUUUUCUAAGAAAUGCACAUUAAGAGAGAACAAAUGAAUCAGAGUAAUUUACUGUACCAGAGCAAAUAUCUCCACGUGAGAGAACUAAUCAUUGAUUACUUACAUAACGUGCCUCAGAAAGUAGCGUAUAUUAUCUUCUCUUUAUGUGUUCCUGACUUGUCUCCUUAUUAUGUCACUCUAAAACCACUUGCUUUUCACAUAUGAAAUGAAGCACUGUGGAGUUCCCCACUGUAGGUCUGAGUUGUCCCAUCCUGGGAUGGCAGGACUCCAUCAGUCAUCUUGAACUUUGAUCUUGAACCUUGAUACUGUUCUAACUCCAUGAAUGCUAACUUUGUAACAUUCUUUCCUGGGUCACAGUCCCACCUGUUAGCUUCUUGAGGGGAGUGUCCCCAUGUGAUUUAGCUUUUGAUCCCUCAGGAUAUCUUGUAGCAACUCAGCAGAUAUAUCAAGCAUGAAUGUUUUAAGAGGUGGAAAACCAAGUCAUUUUGGCAUAAUUUAAAGCAUUUUCAGUCUGUAGAGCAUUCUGUGACAGAUACCAGUGAUACUUUUGCAAAAAGAGGAGAGAAUUCUGAUACGGUCCUGGGUGGUGAAAUGGCAAUGUCGCUGUUGGAAAGGGCCAGGCAGCAGAUGAAAAAAGGCAUGACCAGGUGCUACGAGGACAGACUCCAAGACCUCAAACGGAAGCACAACCUGAAAACAUUAUGCCCAGCUCUUCACUGAAUGACCAUGUUUAACCCCUUCUACUAAUAUGGGAUGCUCCCCACCCCCAUUUCAGCAAUAGGAGUAAUAGGAGUAACAUCCCUUACACUUUUUUUUUUUUUUUAACAGAUUGGCACCUGAGCUAACAACUGUUGCCAAUCUUCUCUUUUUUUCCUGCUUUUUCUCCCCCAAAUCCCCCCAGUACAUAGUCAUAUAUUUUAGUUGUGGGUCCUUCUAGUUGUGGCAUGUGGGAUGCUGCCUCAACGUGGACUGAUGAGUGGUGCCAUGUCUGCACCCAGGAUCCGAACCAGGAAAACCCUGGGCCGCUGAAGCGGAGCACGUGAACUUAACCACUCGGUCACAGGCCGGCGCCUCCCCUACACUUUUGUUUAUAAUGAAAAACAAUGGAGAGAUAGGCCUUUCUUC